rnacentral:rRNA from 1 species
GAUGAACGCUGGCGGCGUGCUUAACACAUGCAAGUCGAACGGAAAGGCUCCUGCUUGCAGGGGUACUCGAGUGGCGAACGGGUGAGUAACACGUGGGUGAUCUGCCCUGCACUUCGGGAUAAGCCUGGGAAACUGGGUCUAAUACCGGAUAGGACCACAUUUUGGAUGGUGUGGUGGAAAGUUUUUCGGUGUGGGAUGAGCUCGCGGCCUAUCAGCUUGUUGGUGGGGUAAUGGCCUACCAAGGCGUCGACGGGUAGCCGGCCUGAGAGGGUGUACGGCCACAUUGGGACUGAGAUACGGCCCAGACUCCUACGGGAGGCAGCAGUGGGGAAUAUUGCACAAUGGGCGCAAGCCUGAUGCAGCGACGCCGCGUGGGGGAUGACGGCCUUCGGGCUGUAAACUCCUUUCGCUAGGGACGAAGCGUUUUUGUGACGGUACCUGGAGAAGAAGCACCGGCUAACUACGUG